UUUGGAUGUAGGGAGUAAAGUU
rnacentral:snRNA from 1 species